GUUCUUUUUUAUGAUCUAAUAUGAAAAGCAGAUUUCCUGUAAAUCUCAAGAGCCACCAACAUGCGCCGCCUGGUGGUAACACCGGAUAUGACCGGUCACGUGCUCUGCCGGGCUCUUUUAAAUGCGGGGCCUGGGUGUGACCCGAGGAACACCUGGAGAUGUGGAGGGAGCAGGUGACACACCUGAGCACACACGUGUUCCUGAAGCUGCGGUUCGAGGAGGAUCUGUGUGUACUGCGUGCUGAAACCUCAGGAACGUACCUCUCUUCUGAAACAUGAAUUAUUUGUGACAGGAAUGAAAGGACUUGGUUUAAGAUGAAUGAUGCGUCUCAGCAAAAUCAAAAGAUUGUUUUAUUGCAAAUUAAAUGCAUUAAAAUGAUCAUAUCUAAUAAAACACAUUGAUUUUAUGAAUAUAGAGGAAUUAAACUCCACAUCUCAUUUUGGGCCUCUUAAAAUUUAAUUUCUGAAUUUCUUAAGGACCAAUGUAAGACAUUUUUUCCACGAUGAAUUUACAAUAUUAUUAUGACCUAAAAUGUUGUUUAUUGUUGAGUGCUCAACACAGAGUGUCUCAGGUUUGGUGUGACGUUCUGUUUGUAGACUUUUUUUUUUUAAAUGUUCUCCUGACAUUGAUUAUGUGUUUACAGUGCAAUAAAUCUACUUUAGUUCUCAGUAUUUGUGUUCAGCUUCUAUUUGUGAUGUAAUAUUGACAGUACACGUGAUGAUGAGGUAAGCAGAACGUUUAGUUUAUCGCCUAAAUGAUUGUUUAAGUAAGUUAAUAAGACAAAAUAACUCAUUAAAAUGUAACACAAAGCUAGCUGAG
ensembl:lncRNA